rnacentral:rRNA from 1 species
CCUACGGGAGGCAGAAGUGGGGAAUAUUGGACAAUGGGCGCAAGCCUGAUCCAGCCAUGCCGCGUGAGUGAUGAAGGCCUUAGGGUUGUAAAGCUCUUUCACCCACGACGAUAAUGACGGUAGUGGGAGAAGAAGCCCCGGCUAACUUCGUGCCAGCAGCCGCGGUAAUACGAAGGGGGCUAGCGUUGUUCGGAUUUACUGGGCGUAAAGCGCGCGUAGGCGGACCGUUAAGGCGGAGGUGAAAGCCUGGGGCUCAACCCCAGAACGGCCUUCGAUACUGGCGGUCUCGAGUCCGGGAGAGGUGAGUGGAACUGCCAGUGUAGAGGUGAAAUUCGUAGAUAUUGGCAAGAACACCAGUGGCGAAGGCGGCUCACUGGCCCGGUACUGACGCUGAGGUGCGAAAGCGUGGGGAGCAAACA